GGUUAUUUAUUCAGUGCCUCUGUGGGUCAUGUUUUAUACCGCCUGGGCUUCUUGUCAGGCCUUCGAGGAUCCAGCUUAGGUUGCACUCAGGAACGAAAACCCAAGGCCCCUUAAAUAAUGUUAACUUAACAGCUGACAUUUUUAUGAAAAAGUCUGCGCAGAUGCGUGCAGGAAAGGGGACAGGGCAGACAGAGAGCUGGAGGGAGAGGAGGAAGAAGUAACAAUGGCCUCGCCAAUCGAUUUCAACCUUCGGGGCCCUCCCUGGGAUAGAGAUCCCUCUCCAAAGAACUGUUCCAGGUUCUUCUUCUGCUGGAAUUGAAGAAGCAAGGCAUGGCCUCAUUUAAAGGACCCCCACAUGCUUGCCAUCUGAGUAACAGUUCAGGAGACAGUUUGACCUGAUUACUCUUGCAAAGAUAUCACCUUCACACACACAACACCAGUUGCCGCUCAACCUGCUGGAUAGCAACUGAAAAUGCCAGGUGCCUUGUUGGGGAGGUGGGAGGAGCCCCUUUCUGAGGCUUCCACCUGCUGGGUGAAAGGCCAUGCAAACACGCCAGUGCAUUAUUGAUGGGUUUGAAACAUGGUUUUGUGAUUGGAAGGGGCCCUGUCAUGGAACCUGCUUAGGAGCUGUCCUAGGGGAGCUGGGAAGUGUCAUUCGGUGCCAUUGCCUGAAAAUGCAGAGCAGGCAAAGAGGGAAGCCUGUGUGGGCCCUGACUCAGCCCCCAGAAGGUGCUGCAGCUUGGCUUGUCCGGGAGCGAGCAUGAAGGGACGACACCUGCUGUUGGAGGAAGGUUAUCAGCUCUGGAGGCUGGGAAGACCAACACCAAGCCCUGGAGGAAUCUUCUUCCCAUAUCAUCCCAUGGAAGAACUUGUGACUUGCCUAAGAGCUGGGAAUACAGCCAUCUAUGGACAACCCCUGCUAAGUCUCACCUUCCAGCAGUGUUACAAUGGCAAGUGCACUUCAACAAGGGUUUUGAAGGAGAAAAAUAAUCUGUAACAAAAGAGAAUGGAACGUGGAAAUAUCAUUCCUGUAUUCCUUCAAUCUGAGGGGCACAUCUAAGAAACACCAGUCCAUUCCAUCUCCCCACCGCUGCCACGGUCCUUUCUGAUUCUAGAGUGUAAAGGGCUGCAUCCCAACACAAGACUUGUGGCCACCAGCCUGCUCUAUUCUGAAGCACAGGGUUGUCUUAUACCUGUUCCCCAGAACUCACCUCCAUCACGUCUUCCUUAGAAAGAACUUCUCAAGCUGCCUGCUGAGGUCAAGCCCUCUCCUACAUUCAUCAGAACUCCCAUGGUCCAGACAGACUGAAGAGAAAAGAUGGAUGGCUUUCUUGAAAACGCAGCUAGUGGACUCUCAGAGCUGCUCUAGGCUUCAGAGCAAUGGAGCACUAUGACAGCUGUUCUGGACCAGAAGCGUUUCUUCCUUCCUCGUGAUGACUGUCCAUCCCUGUGCAAUGGCGUGUCUUCCUUUCACCUGUUGGAGGAAACCAGACAUUCCCUUUGUUGCUCAGUGAGUCAGACCACCUGCUCCUCAGGGCCCUGGAUGUCCUUGCCUUCCCCCAUGACUCCCGGUUCACUCAGGGCAGACUUAUGGCACACGGAUGUCAAUUUGGCUUGAAUUGCACAAUCGUUGCUGACAUUUCGUUAACCACCCUGUGAACUUCUCCAGCCCAAAGUCGCAGCAACUUGUGCCCUUGAACACCGAACAGAAAACAACCAUAUUGAUUUUCUACUAUCAACAAGGAAGAGACAAUCUGUCUGUGCUGAGACUGUUCAUAAUGCAUUUCAGCCGGCUCCUUCUUUCUCAGCAGCUGGCCUCCUCCCGACACAGGCCUGGGCUGCUUUCACCUCCUACUGCUUAGGUCUCUGCCAGAAUUAACCCUGAAGUGCUAGUGCCUUCUCAAGGUUUCCCCAUUCCUGGAUGUUCCGGAAUCAGCAUAAAUGGUGUUUUGCAAACAACCCGAUGAGAUGAAGGAGUUAAGACCACUUAGAGGUCACACCUGACCCCAGGAAGCAGGUCUGCAAGAAUCUCUUUUAGCAAAAUGCCUGUUUCAAAGACUGUGUCAUUUGGCUAUAUUAAAAGCAUUAUUUGUGUGCAUAUGGGUUGUUGCCUAUACAAAUUGAAGCGUCAGACCAUCAGACAGUAUAUUGUAUCCAUUGUAUCACCAAGUUCUGAUGUAUGAGUUAUUAUUCUGACUUACUAGAAAUGAAGCUUCUUUCAACCUGCCUUA